rnacentral:rRNA from 1 species
UUGACCUCGGAUCAGGUAGGAAUACCCGCUGAACUUAAGCAUAUCAAUAAGCGGAGGAAAAGAAACCAACAGGGAUUGCCCCAGUAACGGCGAGUGAAGCGGCAACAGCUCAAAUUUGAAAUCUGGCCCCUAGGGUCCGAGUUGUAAUUUGCAGAGGAUGCUUUUGGCGAGGCGCCUUCCGAGUUCCCUGGAACGGGACGCCAUAGAGGGUGAGAGCCCCGUCUGGUCGGAUGCCAAGCCUAUGUAAAGCUCCUUCGACGAGUCGAGUAGUUUGGGAAUGCUGCUCAAAAUGGGAGGUAUAUGUCUUCUAAAGCUAAAUAUUGGCCAGAGACCGAUAGCGCACAAGUAGAGUGAUCGAAAGAUGAAAAGCACUUUGAAAAGAGGGUUAAAAAGUACGUGAAAUUGUUGAAAGGGAAGCGCCUAUGACCAGACUUGGGCCCGGUGAAUCAUCCAGCGUUCUCGCUGGUGCACUUUGCCGGGCACAGGCCAGCAUCAGUUUGGCGCGGGGGAUAAAGGCUUUGGGAAUGUGGCUCCCUCGGGAGUGUUAUAGCCCAUUGCGUAAUACCCUGCGCCG